rnacentral:rRNA from 1 species
CCCUUAGAUGUUCUGGGCUGCACGCGUGCUACACUGAUUACUUCAACAAGUGUUUUAACUGGAGAGUUUGCGUAAUCCUGGAAUGUUAUCGUGAUGGGAGUAGAGUAUUGUAUUUGUUAAUCUUUAACGAGGAAUUCCUAGUAAGUGUAGGUUUAUAAGUUGUUCUGAUUACGUCCCUGCCCUUUGUACACACCGCCCGUCGCUCCUACCGAUUGAUUGAUCCGGUGAAUUACAUAGAAUUUUGCGUUUUACAUGACGGAAGAUGAAGUGUUUUAAACCUUAUCAUUUAGAGGAAGGAGAAGUCGUAACA